AAAUUGAAGAGUUUGAUCAUGGCUCAGAUUGAACGCUGGCGGCAGGCCUAACACAUGCAAGUCGAACGGUAACAGGAAGAAGCUUGCUUCUUUGCUGACGAGUGGCGGACGGGUGAGUAAUGUCUGGGAAACUGCCUGAUGGAGGGGGAUAACUACUGGAAACGGUAGCUAAUACCGCAUAACGUCGCAAGACCAAAGAGGGGGACCUUCAGGCCUCUUGCCAUCGGAUGUGCCCAGAUGGGAUUAGCUAGUAGGUGGGGUAACGGCUCACC
rnacentral:rRNA from 1 species